rnacentral:lncRNA from 1 species
UUUGCCAUUUUGCCAUACGUUUAUUUCAUACGCUGCUGUGGUGUUAAAACAAGUUUAUUUCCAUUUUUACCAAAACCCAAAAGAUUUCAGGAGUAUGUUGUGUGAACUGUCUCUUCAUUUCUGUUAAUAAAGCAGCUGCUAUUUGGAUAAACAGGUUGGUAUAACUAAAGUGUCUUCUGUUCCUCUCAUAACUUAAUCUGCCUCACUGUAACACCAGCUCCUUUGUAAUAAUCCAUUACAAUAACCUGCAUUGCAGGGGCAGAGACACUGACUAGAUCUGACUUCUAGUGCUUUACGUUUUAAUUUGACUUUAUCUAUCUUUCAUCAUCAGUCCCACUAAUAAAUAUGAAAAGGUUGAGUUCAUUUAUUUCUGCAGCAGAAAAGCAUUGGUCUCCAUGGUUACUCAAAGCCAUGUAGCUUUACUUGCACCAUAAGCUGCUUUUUUCCCCUUCACAGAAUUUGCAUUGGAUCCUCCAUCUUGAGCUUUUCCACAGGUAUUUUUAAAACAAGAGCAUUUAUUUCUCUCUCUUCAUACUGUGCUGUGUGAAUGUAUGUAAAGCCAAUCAAGUGUAUAACCUUCUCUUCCUAGUGCUCCUUCUUCAGAGAACUGAGUGGGUUUUGUUUCCCUACACCUAUUUGGAAAUAAAGCUCCAGGUGCCGAGAUGAACUGUGCUACUCCUGGUCCUGCUAAAGAGCAUCUGCAUCACAAAGCAGCACACCCAAAGGUCCAUAACAGCUUUGCAGACAGUUUAUUUAUACCAUUCAACUUACUUACAUUACACAACAGCUCAUAACCCCCUGUUCCUAGUCUGAAGUAGAGUGCUGGGAGCUUUAGCCAUCCAUGUGCUGUCUAUUGAACUUCUAAAUUCUGACAUGGGCUUCUCUUGUAAAAUCUGAUCAUUUGUGCAUAGUGAAGCUGGCACUAUUAGCACAUCACAGCUUUAGCAUGCUUCCAGAGCACUCUUCAACCUUCUGACCAUCUGAGGUAUAAAAACGUGAAGGUAAAAGAGGAUUUGCACAUCCUCUCCACUGAUUUCAGAAGCUGAUGAAGUGCAAACCACUAUGAUCGAAUCUUAAAUGUUCCAGCCUCUAUAUAGCUACAAUAUGAUCAGAAACUUUUAGCUUCCCCUGCAGAUGCUAGCCAAAGAUCUGAAAUGUAACAGUUGCUUCUUCCUAAUGCCAUAAAGUAUGAACUGUGAGAAGCAACUCGGGCAGUCUUUCCCAGAAACUUUCUAGUAGCCAAAAAUUAUUUUGAGACGUGGUACCUACAUAGUUCAUAGGAAAAAAGUCUUCGGUUCAGUAGUUUUGGCAGGUCACAGGGGUGUGCUGCUGACAGAGGGUGUCUUUUUCAAUGACGAGAUAGUUGCACACUGAAGUAAUUUGCAAAGAGUAUUAAGAAAGGUGCCAUGGCUCUUCUCGGCUUCAAGCAUUUGCUCUUCUAGGAAGGAAAACAGUAUUUUCUAAUACAAGGAACAAACCUCUACUUUAUGCACUUUGGCACAGAGGUGGUUCAUUUCCAUCACCUUGUCUUGAAUCAGUGGAAUGGUCUCACCCAGGGUCUCAGAUCCUACCUCUUCCCCGGGCGGCGGGGUCAGGCAGCGGGCGAGCCGCCGCACUCCGCUCUGCUCUCCUCAGCCGCCGGCAGCGGGGGCUCCUCCGGCCGCAGCAUCACCCCGCCGGUCCCCGGCUGAGCCCAUGGCAGCGGCCGCUCCGCCCCC